UAAUUGGCAGAGUUUCAGUAUUGUUCUCAAAGGAAAUUAAAGUGAUGAAGAUGGUGAAGAGAUGUGUUUUGCUGGUUCUUGAGCACAGGGUGCUCUAGUCUUCUAUCUUUGGACAAGGAUCCUCUCCAUUUGCCUUGAAAUGGAGAGGAGUCAUUUUAUGGUCAAAACUUUUAAAUGAUGUGACAACAUAUUCACCACGUGACAUCAUAUCUGUGAAAUAAAAUCUUGACUAUGAAAUGGCUCCUUUCCAUUUCACUUAAAAUGGGGAGGAUCCAAUUCCUCUAUCUCUGCACCCAAGUGAAAAGGUUUUAUGUGCAUUUAUGUGAAGCUCACCACAUAGUGGCAAAUAGAUGGAUCUGCUGAGCUAUCAAUGCAAAGAAGGAUGAUUGAGGCAACAUAUCCUGUCCACGGAUGAAGGGAGCUAGAGGUGAUAUGAAAGCAUUAGAGCUAUGACUACGUGGUUGGCUACAGGGCAAUACAAUUGAAUCUAUAAUCUGAAGACUCAAGUCAUCUGCUCUGAUCGAGAUUGGCGAUCUGCCAGGCAUUUACCCCACAGGUGCCUUAAGACGGGAACAAAAAAGAUUGUUGAGUCUGCGUUUCAAUGGUAAUCAGCCUCAUAACAUAUGCUUGCCCACUAACCAAGAGUGGAAGAGGUACCAUACGCACCAGUUUCGUCUGAUUUUGUUCCUUUUGAUUGGAAACAAAUGCGUUUCUUCAUAUGGAAGCUUUUUUGUUUGUUGUAUUUCUAGUCAAAUUGCUUGGUUAUGGUCACAUGCAUUUGCAUGCAGAAUCGAACAAAUCUUGUAACUGUCAUAAAACGAGUUACAGAACUGAUCUGUAGUGUCAAAAAGGUCUGGAAGCUGAGCUCCUUUAGAGGUAUUACAAAUGAGGAUCUCAGUUUAUAUUCCUAAUUAAAUUUUACAGAACUGUUUGUAAAUUGAUGUAUAUUGAUGUAUGCUUAAGUGCCUAAUAUUAUCUUCAUCACUUUUAGCUCUUUUUUUUCAAUUAA